GAAAUUUCACAUGGUGUCGGGUUCUGGGGGUCUUGGUCCUUUUUUCCUUUUUGUUUUUCUUUUCCCCUCUUCCUGGUCUUAGUCUCUAGCAUCACUGUGGCCCACUAGAUGGAGCCAGAGGCUGUCUAGCUGGGAGGCGCGCCCAUGGGUUUUACGCACCUGGCCGUCAUCAUCUCAUCAUCCUCUGGAGGUUAAAGAAGCUGACUGCCAGCACUUCGACGCCGGAGUGUUUUACCUGCUUGGAAUCGUUGACUCCUCGAGACGAUUUGGAUUCUCCAGAGUGACUUCCAUCCUGGCUUUUUGGUUAAAGCCCUCCUCGUGACGCCGUGGACGGUACCCACUGGUUGCCCGAGUCCCGUUUUCACCUCUCCCGUCAGAUCUCAAGAUUCUCAGUUGUCAUCGGCUGGCAGUCGGACCU